UCAAUUUUCAUCAACCUGUUGUGAACACUACUUUUAAAUAAGUAAGUAGUAAUUUGGGGUUGGAGAACUUGCUUAACUUGAUAUAUCCCAGUUAAGUCAAAUUAGAAAAAAUAAUUUCUUGUACCCAGUGUCCUUUGGGCGUUCUAUCAGACAUGCGCAGAUCUGCCCUGCCCACUUUCGCGCUCUUUCCAACACCUUUCUCAGUUAUUUUCGCCAUUGUGGGUUUACUUGUCCUCAGUACACUGAUUUGGCACUGCUGCAAUCGUCACACUUUUUCUGUUACAAACUGACCCGGCCCCUCAUCAGAGAAGGGAAAAGUCAUGUGGCCUUCACAGGAAAAGGUUUGGGGACCCCUGCUUUAGAGUGUUUGUCAUCUGCCCUUCCAUUUGCUUUUCUUCAUGUGCAGUGCUCCCCCUCCAUGUUUGAUCAAACUGCACUGAUAAUUUGAAAUUGUUUUAAAAUGCAUUAAUCGCAAAAAUCAGAGGACUAGAUCACAUUUCCCCCUGUUAUUUCACCACUUUAACUUUGGUCUAACCUAAUAUAGGAAUACAGAUAGAAAGAGUGCAGAGAUCACACUCGACGCCAUAACAACCUGGUGUGUUUAAGGUUGGUCAUUUAUGUGCCUAUAUUUUGAAAUUGUUGCCUUAAUUUUGUGUUCUUUUUCACCAUCCCCCAAUCAGGCUGAAGCAAAUGGUCAAAAGUCCACACAUACCUCAGUCUCAGCAAUUACAGGUCAACCAAAGCAGUAUUCUCUAAUGCAGUGGACUUGCAAGUACUGCACAUUUUCUGCUGAAAAGAGCCUACUUGCUUAAGCAUUACCGCUUAAAACAUGGAUACCACACUCGGACAUCCCUACUCCCAUGUCUUCAUAAGGACUGCCUCUGCACAUUUAAAUCUUUUAAUGCACUCAAAGUACACCUAUCGACAUGGCACUCUCAAAAAGAUGCAGGCAAAAGUGGAGAAACUGCAUUUGACCGUCAGUUGUGCAACUUUGUGGAGCCCUGCUCAGAAGCAGACUUCUUUACCCAUUUGCGAGGACAUCUUAAGCUGAGGCAAAUGGUUACUUGCCCAUAUCAAGACUAACUUUCAGAGCAGUAUUUAUUCGACCUUCACUGCACACAAAAGCAAAGAAAUGUGAAAUGUGUUUGAGCCAUAGUGUGGGUAGGACAUUUGUGUCUAAAUCAUUCAAUCCCAAUAAAAGUUGCUUUAAUAAAAAAAAACUUAUUUUUAAUCAAAGAAAAAGAACCUUUUGCAAAAAUAUAUUUUUUUGAAAAUAUAUAUAUUUUUAAAUAUAUAUUUUUUUUAUUGACGUGUCACUUUUUUUUUAAAGGAAAAAGUUUAAAACUUUUUUUUUAAAGUGGAAAAAGUUUUGAACGCAUUUCUUUUUUUCUUUUUGAAGUGGAAAAGGUUUUAAAGGCACUUUUUUUUCCGAUUGAAUCAUUUUGACACAAAGAUACGACUUCAACGCUACUUCCGACAUGUUUGAGUGGCAGGUGACUACACCAAUGGCAUAAAAGAAUGACUAAUGGCCACCAGGGCUCCAUCGAGCCAUCGGACUCUGCUCGAGUCCAAGCCGAAAAUAGGGCACUGGUACGGGGGGGGUGACAUCGGCAUCUCACCGGAGUGCCCGCGCUGGUAUGGUGCGCUGCUGCUUAAUGUGAUUCAAGAGGGGAACUUCACCCACUGCCCUGACGUGACGGUUGGCAAUCGGGGUCCAACCGCAGUGUCGCGACGCGCCGGUAUGGGAGUGGCCGACGAGUGGCCCGACACUAGCCUGCCCAGUAGCCCGCGCCGGGAGCCCCGUCGCUUCAGCUUUGAAUGAGUUUCGUGUCAGUCGCGGGCCGUCUACUCAACAGCCGGCCUCCGCGCCGGGGUAGUGAUAUCGGGGUCCGCCAGUGUGCCGCAACAGGGCACCGUACCAUCGCCGGCACACCGGUGAGAUGCCGAUGUCACACCCCCGUACCGGUGCCCUAUUUUCGGCU